rnacentral:tRNA from 1 species
GCUCCUAUGGUGGAAUUGGUAGACACAAGGGACUUAAAAUCCCUCAGCCUUUAGGCUAUGCAAGUUCAAAUCUUGUUAGGAGUA